rnacentral:lncRNA from 1 species
CAGUCCUCCACACAUACUGGGGGGAUGACUGUAAUAAAACAGUCUUACAAGGGCCUGUUUCUCUACUGGCCGAAUCCAUCAGCCUUUGCUUGACAUUUCCCAUUCGGGAUUUUGGUACUUACCAUUCCCUCUUCCUGCGUUGCCAUUCCCCUGAGCUUUUGCAAGGCCAACAAUAACUGAUUGUUCUCUCUUCCUUUAGGUCUGAGCUUAAAAGUGUUCUCUCUAUCUAAAGCAUCUCUACCCCCACACCCUUGCUACUCUUGGUUAAUCUCUAUCACAGCACCCAGUUUAG